GCCAAUGAUCCAUGUUUCCUCUUACAGUCUUUGCUUUAUAUGAAAAAUUAAAUACUAUGAAUAAUUGCAUUGUUCCUUUUAUUGAUAAAGAGUUUCCCAUUAAAAGAGAAAGUAUUCCCAAUUAAUACUUUGCCUGUUAAAGUGUGCCCACCCCUUGACGAGUAAAAUCGUCUGGCGUUAGACAGAGUAAAAUAAUAAAGUAGGGUGCAUCAGGGCACAUGCAAUGCAACUCAAUGGGUUAACUGGAUCGCCCGGUGUUAGACAGAAUGAUAAAGUUGGGUUAACAAGUAAAAUUGUCUAGCUUUACAGUACAUCUUCCAAGGGGGGCUGGAUUUGGGGAGCAGGCCUACCACUUUUGGGGGGGGGCUGCUUUUUUGAACCUCAAUUAAACUAUUACAGUAAUCCGACGGCCUGUCUAUAUGGUCUCCGGGUACUAGGGAAAUUUUACACCCCCCCCCCCGAGCCCCCCUGGCAAGGCAAAACUAUAUUCAUAUCCUAUUAUAGCAACUGCCAUGCAAGUGUUUGGAUGGAAAGUUUUGAACUUGUCUUGCCUAGUGGGAUGAUCCAGGUAGUAAGGUCACUCCGUCAGGGGGUACAGCAUCUCUAUUACUCAAGAUUAAUUAUAUAAACAUUGCCUGAGGCUAUGUAAAAUUGGUAGGCAUUCCAAUAUAAGAUCAAAUAGUCUCAGGUUUUCCCCAAUCAGAAGAACAAAUUAACAUAGUUGUAAGAAUCUGCAUCUGAUUCAUUGUAAUGACUAAUGAACAAUGUAGUUCAACAGGAAUGGUUGGCAAUCUAGAAAAGCAAAAUAAAAAAUAAACAGAUUAGAUUUAAUAUUAAACAUGUACAGACUUGGCAUGUUUGAGAAAUUAUUGACCUUUGAGAGCCAAAAAAAAGGUUGUCAUUGCACAAUAACCAAUGCACUAGUCUAGGGGAAUCACUAUAAAGUAUAAUUUGACCAAUCCCUCACCAUUGGGUCAACAUAUAAGUUAAAUAAAGUCUAUAUGAGAACUUUAGAGUACUGUGGCUCCAUGUCCAAG